UUUGUUUUCUCUUCCGCCUUUUCCUUCAAGCGUCAUUUCUCUUCUGCCUCUUAGUUCAAGUGCAGUCUCUUCCCCUUCAUUUUCUUUCUCGUCUUCUCCUUCGAACAGCUCCAUCUAUUGUUUGCUCUUAGGUUUCUCUCUCGUUUCUCGUCUCCAACUUCGCAAGUCAGUCGCAGCGUGAAGCAUAUUUGUUACUUAUGUUGUGGCCUUUUCCGUUCUCAAAGCUUCCACAUCUCUUGUAGAGUUUGUGUAUAGGAUCGAGAAGAGCCAGAAUACUGGAAUGGUGCUCUCAAGCCCUAACUUUUAAAGGCUUCACGUCGAGCAAUUGGAUUUGUUUUACUGGAUCGUUGAUUCUGAUGCCCUUCUCUUGGUGUGUGCUUUCCUUCAACUCUAACCUUUUUUGGCUUAUUUUUUUUAAUUGAAGACUAUGAUUGUUCUCCUUCUUUUGACUAAAUGCGAUGGAGAGAGAUUGAAUGUGUGUUUCAACCCAACUCAUUGGGCAUAAAUAAAGCCAAAUCAGAUUAGGAUUGAUUUUCUCAAUCUACCAAAAACGAUUAUAUCCAAAAUAAUCUCGAUGUUGGAGAAGAUUGGAUUGCAGCUAAACAAGAAACUGAAUAAUGGCAGAAGAUGCUUACAAUAAUAGGACCAAGCUUGAUCACAAUAAAAGAUCUGUAAUAAAAGAGUUGAUGUUCUAUAUUUGCUCUUCAAGACUUGUCAAAUAUUGUUUUAUCAUUUUUUCGGUUUGUAUAUUUCUUUGAAAAUAACAAAAAACCUCCCAAAGUAUCGUUGAAGUGCAUUAUAGAAAAAGACCCACUACGAUUGUUUUGACUCGUUUGUAAUUGCAUGUUGUACAAGGGUAUAGUUCCACUCUUGGGACACUAUAUUCCAUGUAAGUUGAAAAGAUCAUGGGUUGAGAGCACCAUUCCAAUAUUGGGCCGAAGCCGAAUUUUUCUUGAGUUGACAAACUUGACGGCCAUGAUUAGGAUUAGCCUUUUUCUUAUAAUUUAUUAUCUUCGCUGCAGUUUUUUUAACUUUAUUUGAGACUUCAAGAUCUUGGGUGGAGUUGCAAUGAAAAAUUUGAAGCCUUAAUUCCUUUACUAAAAAUAAUGGCCCACUAGAUCAUUGUUGCUCGUUGUCUUUCAGAUUUGGCAACCUUCACUACAAGAUAUAUCACUUUUUAUAGCAUUUCAACUAAGGUGAAAAGGUCUCACAUUUUCCCCUUCCCUUUAUUUCUCUGUUCUUUCUUUUUUAUUUAUGUGUUUCUCUCCACUUAAUCUUGAUUCUUGAUGAAGCCCCAAUUUUGAUUCGCAAAAACCAGUUGAGUUGGAAUUCACUUGAUGUCGUAAAACUGAUUCACAACGCACCAAGCUUUGAUUAGACGUCAGAAAGUGUGGACGGAUGAGCGUGAAGUCAGUGAGAGGAGCGCUUGUGACCGAAUAGAUGGUGUUUUCGGAGGUGGCCCACGACUCUAUGUUGGGAUUGAAACCUUGCGACAGAGGCACCUCUUUAAGCUUUUCCUAUAACAACAAAUAGGGUUUGUGAUUGGGCUCUCCAAAAACUCAACAUCAUUUCAGGUUUUUAGGUAUUCUUUUUCAGUUCAUUGUUUUCUUUUUCAUUUUGCUUUCUCUCUAUAUUUUCCACUGAUUUCUUCUACUGAAUGUCUACUGUUAUAGCUUCUAUUUUAGCUAAAUUCAAUUUGUUAAAUUCAGCUCUGUUGGUAAAAGUUUACUGCUGCAUAGAGCCUGUUUUAAAAAAUGCCUCGUGAAAUUGUUUAUUUGAUUUGGCAAUGGUGAAGUAAUUGUUCUUUAUUUUGGAUUUUUUUCUUAAUGUGCUGUUUUGUUCCAAGAAAAAUAAGUGAAGGGUUUCCAUGGAAUGAUUUUUCUUGGGGUCUUUAAUAUUCUCUUAUCCAAAAUCCUAGCUAAACUAGUUUUUGUAGCUUAAUUGAAUAAAAACCAAUUUCAGGAAGAUAAUUAUUAAAACAUAUAUACUCAAUUUUUUUUAACAUGAAGAAUCAAAACAGAAAUUUGAAGGAACCAAGAUUAAAAUGCUUUCUUGAAAAGUACUUUACCUUUUUUCUGUUGCAAAUAUAGUUUUAGGCAAAAUGGUGACCCCUUAUCCAAAGUAGACUUCCAUCAAAAGCUUUUGCUUGUCUUCUUCUGAGAGAACAUCAAAAUUAUGUAGGAAAAGAUUUGUUUUUUUUUUUGAAACCCACGACACUUGGUGCUUAAUGAUUUAAUGUUAAACCUGGAUGCUAACUCUGUUAUCACAAGCCUACACUUGUUGUGGUUAAACAAUCUAAUUACUUCUUUUCUUACUUUGUAAUCUUCCAAUCCCUUUCCAUAAUCUUGCAAUUCCUUUACCAUCCAAGAUGGAUCUUGGAAAAAUACAGAGAUGGCUUCUUCAUAUUUUCAUAAGCUUAGUACAAAAAAAGGACUCUUUGUUUUUCAAUUUACUUAUGAUUCUACUCAUAUUUGAGUAUCAUUGGUAUUCUUUAGUCCAACAUCCGAUGAAAUAAUUUAUAAACUAUUUUAUAUAUUCAAUUCCUUAGUAAUUACUCUAACAGACAAUUUUUUGACAAAUAAUUUAAAAUUGUUACAAAAAAGAAAGACAAACGAAAAUUUCAACUUUGAGAACCGUUUAUCAUAUGCCUCAGUCAUGAUUUCAAUUUAGAUUGCAAGCCCUAAGGUUGUCUAUCAACUCAAUCCCACUCUUAGUGAUGAAAAAAUCAGCAAGCAAAGGCAAUUUGGGUCUAUAAAAGGGCUACAAAAUAUUCAUACGGUGACAAUACUAUAAAUAUUGUUUUAUUAUUGAAGGUUAGCACAUGUCACAUUCUCUUUUCUUUCAGAUGUCACAGGUUGUUUUUUCUUUCUUCAUAUUUUUCUGGAGUUGAGAGCUUAUUCUAGCACUUCCCAUGAGUUAUUUGUACUUUAGACUUGGUAAAGAAUGAUUUCUCUACUUGGUGUUAUGAUGAAGUAUUCUUUUAUUACUCUAAUCCUUAAUGGUGUACCUAAAAAAUGUGAGUCCUUGUAUGGAUGGAGAAAGAAUAAGUUGCACUUUUCUUUUUGCAUUUGCAGUUGUGGGGAUACAUGUCUCUGCAUUUUUAAUGACACUUAUAAUUUAGAUGUUCUCUCAUUGUUGUGUGCCUUUUUCUUCCCUGUAAAGAACCUAAACCAUUUGUUGAUGUGUAUUGAUCUGUUAUUUCCACUGCCAAGAUGGUCUUUGGCCUAUGCUAUAAUUAUUGUUCACUAUUGAUAUAGAUAAUUGGUUGCAACUUAUUUUAUAGAAUAUUCACUGAUAUGUGCAAGCAAAGCCUUCUCUACCAUGAUCUCUGUUAUUUGGACGUUGAUUUGACUUAAUGGCCUGACUUCUUCAAAGUUUGCUACCUAUUUGGAUGUUGGUUUGGUUUUUAUUUGACUAAUGGCCAUGCAAUAGUUUAACAAAAUUUUCAUAAUAUCAUUUAUCAACAUUUUGGCAUAUUAGUCAAGCACUUGCUUUGUUUUUUUACAUUUGGUUGUUCAAGGUCAUUGUGAAUAAGGUUGUCAAGGUUCAAACCACGACCAACCAUUUAGGAUAUUAACAAUCAUGAAUUUCCAUGUAUAAAUCAUACAAAGGUGUACAUAUUUUAGCCUAACACCCAUGGUUACCAAAACUAGCUUUUACUAUAAUCUUAUAUAGAUUUUCUGAAACAUAAAUAACAUUGGUCAGAUGAGGCAAGUAACUUUUCCAUGUAGACAUAGCAGAUCUUGUCUUGUAGACUGGUAAAUUGUGUAUACUAGAUGCAGUUUACUAGAUGCAAUCUCCAACUUGAAUGACUUCUCAACUUUCUUGCUUUCAAAUUUAACUCUUUUGGGUAUUAUUAGUGAGAUGAUUAUGACUGAUUUUUUCAAUUGACAAACUUUUUAUGUUGCAUAAAUCUAGAUAACUUGUUAAAAUUUUAGGUUAGGAUAUCCAAAAUGAAUGUUAUUUGCUUGUGAGAAAUUGGAGGAGUUCUAGUUCAAAAUCUAGGAUAUCCAAAAUCUAGAUAAGUUGCAAUCAGCUCUAGUUCAAAAGAUUCAUAACGAAGGAGUGGUGCAAAUGAAGUUCAAUUGCAUAGAUUUUAAAUCUCAAUUGUGUGCGGAUGCUCCCAUGGCUAGUGAUUACCUGCCUUUUAAUUUAAUAAACUUAUCUUUUGCAUUGUGAAGAUUAGUGAUACUUUACAUAUAAAACGCAUGGUUGAGGAAGAAACUUCAUUAGUCUUUCCAUACUUUUCCAACUUUAUGAAUUUGCAUUAUUACGCUCUCAAGUACUCAAUGGAUUUGAUAAUAUUUUCUCAUUG